rnacentral:rRNA from 1 species
CCUACGGGUGGCUGCAGUGGGGAAUAUUGCACAAUGGGCGCAAGCCUGAUGCAGCCAUGCCGCGUGUGUGAAGAAGGCCUUCGGGUUGUAAAGCACUUUCAGCGGGGAGGAAGGCGGUGAGGUUAAUAACCUCAUCGAUUGACGUUACCCGCAGAAGAAGCACCGGCUAACUCCGUGCCAGCAGCCGCGGUAAUACGGAGGGUGCAAGCGUUAAUCGGAAUUACUGGGCGUAAAGCGCACGCAGGCGGUCUGUCAAGUCGGAUGUGAAAUCCCCGGGCUCAACCUGGGAACUGCAUUCGAAACUGGCAGGCUAGAGUCUUGUAGAGGGAGGUAGAAUUCCAGGUGUAGCGGUGAAAUGCGUAGAGAUCUGGAGGAAUACCGGUGGCGAAGGCGGCCCCCUGGACAAAGACUGACGCUCAGGUGCGAAAGCGUGGGGAGCAAACAGGAUUAGAUACCCCUGGAGUC